AGUGCUCACUUCAGCACUGAAUAUAAAAAGUAGAAUACAAAGAAGAUUAGCAUGGUCCUUAAGCAAAUAUAAAACGCAAAUUCUUGAAAUGCUCCAUAGUUUU
ensembl:snRNA U6 U6 spliceosomal RNA